UCUCUCUCUCUCUCAUUUUUCUCUCUCUCUCUCUCUCCCCCCUGGCUCUUAGAACCCAGCCAAGGGUGUUGUGAAGAAGCCAGAGAGUCAUCCAGGAAAACCAUACAUCAAUGUCAUUGGUGCUCCAGGCACAGCCCAGCUCAACUGAGGUCCCCAAUGACGCCAUCAUUAACCACCAGACUUGGGAGUGAAUGAAGCUUCAGAUGGUUCCAGCCCCCAACUUUCAAGCACACCCAGUGAUGCUGAGUGCAGCUGAUACAAGCUGUCCCCAACAAGCCCUGCCCAAGUUACAGAUUUGUGAGCAAAUGGAGGCUUCCUCACUUCCAUGCACCCUGGUGACAGACCCAUCUCCUGAGUGUCAGGCCUCUGAGCCCAAGCUAAGCCAUCGUAUCCCCAGUGACCUGCAUGUAUACAUCCAGAUGACCUGAAGCAACUGAAGAUCCACAGAAGUGAAAAUAGCCUUAACUGAUGACAUUCCACCAUUGUGAUUUGUUACUGCCCCACCCUAACUGAUCACUGUACUCUGUAAUCUCCCCGACCCUUAAGAAGGUUCUUUGUAAUUCUCCCCACCCUUGAGAAUGUACUUUGUGAGAUCCACCCUCUGCCUGCAAACCAUUGCUCCAAACUCCACCACCUAUCCCAAAACCUCUAAGAACUAAUGAUAAUCCACCACCCUUUGCUGACUCCUUUUUCGGACUCAGCCCGCCUG
rnacentral:lncRNA from 1 species